CCUGCUUUUCUGCUGUGAGCCAGGUCUACAUGGGUACAGAGGGGGCACAGCCACAUGGAGAGGUUUUAUGGCUGACCAAGAAAACGAGGGCCUUGUUAUGUUUGAAAUGGGCCUCUACCGUCCCGUGCUCACGGUUCUUUUCCAAGAUCAGAUGAACUUCAGAAGAUCCGCACCCACUAUCCUACAAGUCCCCAGGCAAGAAGUAAGAAUAGCAGUGUGUGAGUGAAAUGUAUGGGGUGGUCCCAGAAGUUUAACAACUAGAUCAAGAUUCCGAAGAUUUGAAACCUUGAGCAGUCUGAAGACGGAUAAAACUGGUUUUUAUAUUAUACUCCCCAGAAAUGCUGCAACACUUGUUUGUUCCAAAACUCUGCAUCUAACUACAAUUGUUUCCCUAGAG
rnacentral:lncRNA from 1 species